AGCUCUUAGCAGAUGUAAGAUUGUCAAUGUGUCAGCUAAUUUAAUCUACUAUUCCUGUGUGAGCAGAAAAAGUUCAGAUUUUUAGGGAAUCUAAUCUCAGGUUGCUUCUUGUGGGUGUGGAGGUAGAGACACAACAACAACAACAACAACAACAAGUGGCAGUGGAGAGCUCCUGCAGGCCUGGGAGGAGCAAGGGAGCAAAGGGGAACACAUGCUGGAGAAACGCUGACGCCAGUAUUUUUUUUAUUUUUUUUUUUUUAUUCCUCUGUCUUCUCGCGAUCUGUCUGCAGCAGCCAGGGUUGACCUGACUACAUAUGGCAUGGUUGGGUCUAUGACUGGUCACGUGACGGAAGGGGGUGGGGGGCUACAGUGAGAGAGGGAAAGCAGGGGGAGGAGGAGGAAUGUCUGAGGGUGUAAUGAAUACUUAGAUCCCUUAUGCAUGGAACCAAAUGGCAAUUUGAGGAGUUAUGGCCCUAUAGAUUACAGGAGAUUUAGAAAACACACACAGAGGGAGAGGGGAGGAGAAAAUGUCCAAGCCACAGAUAGAACCAAAAAUCUAAACACCAGCAGCGGUUUGUGUGCUGCAGAAGCACCAAAUGUUUGCAGCUAAAGUAAUGAUCAUUCUUCUGUCGCAGAACAAUACAAUUAACUUGCAACCUACUUUUAAAUGUGCUCAAAAGAUCUCAAACUUCUGCAGAGCUCAGUUGGCUCAAUAACAAAAUGAAAGGAAGCACCUUUGAGCAAAAGCAGGACACCUCCCUGAAUUAACCUGUUGUAGAAAGAGCAGCACCACACCCUUGGCCUUCAAAAAUCCGUAAACAGCCGACCAUGUGUCAUCUCCUCCUUCAGCUCCUCCUCCUUCCCUCAUGUAGGCCACAGGGCCUGCCAGCACUGUAAAUUAGGAACUAACCAAUGGCACCAAGCCAAAUGCGCAACGGGCCAACUGGAAAAGAGCAGAAAAAUGAGAGGGCAGAAAAAGUCGGGAGGUGUGUGCCAAGACGCAGAGUUGCAAAACAAGCAGAAGAAAAUGCAGCCAGGCUAACUUAACUUUUUAAGAACACAGCAAAGAUCAUGUGCCUCCAUAAACGGCGAGCUCAACUGUAACUGCUAAAAGAGCCGUUGUCUUGCUUCAACAAAGCCAGAUGCAUGCAUGGGCCAGCAGAGGACCUCUGCCCUACAUGCUGUGUGGGAGCUCUGCAAAGCCUGAGCAGCGGCAGCAGCACUGAGGCAUUCAGUUUUAGGUAUCCAUACAGGAGCAGUGUUUAUGAAUGAGAAGGAGGUCAGUAGAGCAGAGAUUUCACAUACCUCCCCAGGGACAGACCUAGUUUUCAAAACUGUACAUGCAAGUUCAUGAGUAUGAGUGUGAAUUAUAUAAUAUAGAAUAUGUAUAUAAUAUAUAGUCCCAGUCCACUCAAAAAAUGUGUUUGACUUACUGUUACUUCUAUCUGAUGUUUCACUCUGCAGAAUGUGCAGAGGGUAAGAGAUGUAUCUAUGUGCUGUAUAAGCAGAGGCCAAUCAUCACAAGCGCCAUGUGGAAACAUGAAUCCUCCAGUGCACAUACACCCAGAGUGGACUUCACAGCAAAGUAGCAGACAUUUUGUGUCAGUCAGUUAAAGCUUUUGCAAUUAAAACCUUAAUCUUAAAACCUAAGGACUGCAACCCAUCCUUAAACAGAUGAAUCAGAUUUGUUUUGAAUUCCUACUCUCAGGAGCGUCGACUAACUCAAACUGCUCUGGUUCAGGGUCGGUCACAGCGCUGAGGAAGUGAGCCAAGUCUUAAGAAAUAUACAGCAACAAAUCCAACACUGCCAGUAAUGUAUGCACUGUAUAAAAUUUGAUGACACUCGUGUAAAUUGUUUGAAGUGAGAAGGUGAGGGUGGCUGAUCUUACAAUGCACAGACCAACAACUCCGGUGAGCUCGUUUGCUCAGAAACUGUGCAGUUUUGUGUUGCCUUUAAUACAUGGUUGCUAUGCUUCUACACAUUUGUCCAGAGUCUCUUAAAUCUCAGUUGAACAUUCUGGUUGAUUACAGGUCAGAUGAAUAAAUAUCUACUGAGAGAGAACUUUUCCUGUCGACCCACGCACCGAGACACAUGAGCUAAAACAUGUGUGAUGUCCUCUGGGGUCAAAUAAGCAUCUGCUUGAUGAUACAGGGGACAAACGGAGACCAGCCCUACUGUAUACGUUCCCCUGGUGGUUAUCUAUCAGAGGGAGAAAAGGGUGUGGACGUCCCGGGGGUUUAACUGUCAUUUUAUUUAAUGAGAGGAGGCAUGGGCAAAAUCUUUUGCUUUAAAACAUGUUUCAGACAUGCCGUCGAACCCUGUGUGCAUAUGGUGAUUUGUGUCUAAAUAUACAACAGUAGAGGAGGAAGUGGCCACACACGCUUAACAAAUAAAGGUUGCCACAUCUGAAACAAUGUUAUGUCUCCCUUUUUUUUUUAAAUUCAUACAGUGAGAGAAAUAUUUCUUCAUUUAAUGGAAAAUUUUGCUGACUGUGCUCCCUGUGUAAUGACUGCAGAGCAACAACAGAUAAAGUUAAAGGGGAGGUGCACACAAAAGAUUAGAGCAACUCAGAUAAACGGCUGAGAGUCUGAUAAUGUGUGUGUGUGUGUGUGUGUGUGUGUUUUUUUUUUUUUUUCCUUAAUGCUCAACCAAUCACUCACACUGUUGCACACUGUCACACACUGCACGGGUGGUUAGUUCAGUUUCCAGACUGAGGGACUUAAUGCAACGGAUGGUGUGGGCAAACAUGUUUUCAUGAAGGUAUUUUGGUGGUGGUGGGUGGGUGGGUGGGGUUUAAACAAAAGAAGAGAAGGCAAGACUAAAACACAAUGUGUACCCAGCAGGCCACGAACAGAUCUGGCUUGACAUUUAUAGCAGCGGGUUUUCAUCCAUGAUGCACUUAAUGCAUGUGUUUGUCCAAGGAGUUAUGUAAAUGUUCCCACAGGUGGAGCUUUAAAUCUGCACCUAUAGGCCACCUAUCACAGCACAGACAAACUCACACAGUCCAUACUGAGUAUGACAAAUCAGCAGAAUAUUAACAUAAAAUGAAUCAUGCCUAAGUUUUAGAAGUAAUUUUGAAUUAUAGUCAUUUAUUAAGUCAAAAAUGCAUCCUCUUACAAAACAGAUCAGACAACAAGCUGAGUCACUUUUCCGGGAUUUUGCUUAAAAACACUGGACUUGUACCUCUCUGUUAGUUGCACUGAUAAGUGCUGGGCUGAAUUAAUACAUAUAAAAGUUAGCAGAAU